CGUGACUAUAUCGAGGGGGAAACACCUGUUCCCAUCCCGAACACAGAAGUUAAGCCCCUCAGAGCCGAUGGUACUGGUCUGGAGACGGGCCGGGAGAGUAGGACGUUGCGG
rnacentral:rRNA from 1 species